GGCUUGUUACAAUUGCCGGGUUUACUAUCCAUACGAACCCCUAAAAAAACAGUGUUUUUUUAGGGGUUCGUAUAGAUAGUAAACCCGGCAAUUGUAACAAGCCC
rnacentral:sRNA from 1 species